GCAGGCAGCAAAGCUCCGAGGGGGCCUGGAAGAGCCCCGCAGGGACAAAUGGGGCUCUCCGUUAAUUCCGUCUCCGCUGUGCGCCAGCCGAAGUAGGAGCACGUUCGGAGAGAAAUGUGCCAGGAGAGCUGGCGCUUCAACUAAGCCUUGAAGAACGGGCCCGAUUCCACCGGGGUGAGGGCUUUCCAAGCAAAAGGAACUGCGUGACCAAAGGCAGGUAAUUUCCAGACCCGUCCAGGAAGCAGCAAGCUGGCCAGAGCCGCGGAGCCAUCCGCUUUGUCCGAGGAGCAGCGGGGGCGCCGCGGCAAAGAUGGAGAAACCAAGGUCCAGAGAUUUAAACAGGUUCAUCAAGGACGGAAGACUAUUUGUCCAGCUUCAAAACCCACAUCCUUAAACCACACCACACUCAAGCGAAUUAAGUGGAAAUAACCCAGCUCUGCCCUUCUUCACCUGCUUGCCAGGAGGCUCACUGUGGAGAAGACACACUCAAUACUGCAAAGGUAUUGUCUUUGCCAAUACAAUUGGCCCUUGGUAUCUGCAGGAUUCAACCAAUCUCAGAUCAAAAAUGUUCAAAAAAAAAAAAAACUUCCCGAUAAAGAACAUGA